rnacentral:misc_RNA from 1 species
AAUAUUUUUUUGAAUAAAAGUAUUUACAUGAAUUGUUAAAUCAUACAGUAUUUUUUCUGGAAGUUUAGAUGCUCAGGAAUACUAAUAAUUUUUGAUAAAUAAAUCAUGUCCCAGUUUAGUCCUUGACUCCUGAAAUAUUACUGGAGAACGGAACGCAGUUAACUCCUAGCGACUGAAAAUGAAUUAUCGAAUUUCUGAAAUAAUUUAUUAGAAUUAUAAUAAAGUGUAGCGGUAGUCGUAAUGCGUAGGUGUAUAAACAUUCAAUGCUUUAGGCCGUAUUAGUUGUAUUUUAUACGGUUUUAUUUACGAAAACUUUUUGCUUCGUCGAUGGACUUUAGAAUCGAUAACCCAAUUUCAUUCAAGUUUUAAAUGACUGCAAUUGUACGUUAGUGCGUCGCUGUAAAAUGCUGCUAUAUUAGGGUUGUGUGUCGGUGUUGUGCUCGUCGUGACCAUGCUUUUCACACCGAUUUACAUCGCUAUGACCUUUAUUAAAACCUGGAGGAUUCGCUCGUUCAGAGCUCGACUCCUCGAGUUCCUGAGCGGUAAUACGAGUGUCGCAUUCUGCAAAGUUCCUGAAAAUGCUGCCGAAACACCAACGCUCAGUUCAAAGCUGUGCACAAACCCAAAAAAUGCAUAUCUAUGUGACUUACUGGACUACACGAACACCACUAGGAUAUGCAGUAUGAAGCCAACCCAGCUCAUUGAGAUCAGUGACUGGGUGUCAUGCGCCAGUGGCCUGCCUUUAGGGUCCAGUGAACAGUCUCCUAUUACUGACUUAGAUGUAGAUGUGCUAUUUGAAUGUGAAAUGGAACCGCAUGAAACUGGACAAGAUAUCAUUACUUUAGAGUCCAUGGGUCAGCCUGUAGCCUGGAAGGCAGGCUCACACUUAGCAAUAAUAGUGAAGACUAAUAUAGAACAUCUUAGUGUUAUUGGGUUUAAUUUUAUUGGAGGGGAGUUUGUUAUAGACCACAAUUUGCCAGUUGUUAGGAUACAGACUGUGCAACUUUCUGGUGAACCAAAUAAGGCUUCAGAUCCUUCCAUGAGGAGUCUCCGCAGUGACAUCCAGUUCAGCCUCAAACAAUCGCCAGCUGAAUUCCAAUGGCCAGUACACGCAGCCCUACUGAGAAAACUGUCCAAAGUUGUUGAUAUCAAGUCUGACACUAAGAACACCAUACAGAUGAAUGGUAGCAGUGGGGACAUAGUACUAGAAGUGCCACCUCCUAGGAAAACUGUCACUUUAGCUGAUGUCAGUUGCAACACUGGCAAGUCUUUAUCAGGGGAAGAUGUAGACGUCCCUCAAGAAAGCAAUAAAACUGCGGAAGCUGUAGCAAAGGCACCUGAGCCCACACAGCCUGAAGACAAAGAAGUAAUAGUGGAAAAUGUCACAGUAGAAAUACAGCACAAUAUCACACCAAAAAAAUCUAGUUUAAAACUUGACUUGAAGAAAGGCACCAGCCAACUGUCAACUUCUUUACUAAACAUAUCUAGUCAAAUAAAGUCUGUAACUACUCAUAAAAGGAUAGUUAGUACUACCGGUCCAAAGAGGCCACAGUCUCAAAUAGAAUGUUACCCGGUUGUUCAGGAGGAACCAAGGAGUUCUACAUCACAGCAGAGCACUCCGAAAUCUGUGAAAAGUUCCCGUCCAUUAGUGAAUACAAAGUCACCGAAUGUGUUGAUAUAUUCUGAUAGUGUAGUAGCUAGAGAUAAUUUGGAGGCAUCCCUUAGGAAAGUACUGGAUUGUGAUAGGUACACCCUGUACGUGGUGUCCCGCGCAGCCCUAGAGGGAGGGGCGUGGCGGGGGCGGGCGGCGUUGGUGGCCGUGGCGGGGUGCGUCGGCCGCGCGGCGCCGUUGUUGCUGGCGCACCUGCUGGCAGGAGGCCGACUCCUGGCGCUGUGCUCAGACCUGCUGCAUACUGUGCUGCCGUAUUAUAAGACUGCUGAGGUUCGUGAGAAUGAAGUUGUCCAAUUCAAUUACGAUAAAUGGAAGUCUGUGAAGAUGAAACAUCACAUUUUCUGUUACCAAGCUUCGCCUGCGAAGAAACAGUUCUCCACUGAAAGCGAUAGACAAGCAAGUCAGGAAAAUAAUAUGUAUCGACCGUCCAAAUACACGGGGCACCCGGGCCAUGAGCUGGACAUCCAGGUGUUGGCUUCUGAAGAGACGUGGCGCACUCCCUCGCUGCUGCAGGCCACUGACCUUACCAAUAGAGGCAUUGCUAUAUUCUCACAGAUCCACUUAGAAGCGGACCCCAGCGACUACUUAGGAGAAGAAGGCAUGAAAAGCAAUGAAGCCCGUUUGGGCAUCAUUCACAAAAUCCUAGGAGACAUCCUGGGCCUUCACGUUAAAGACCCCCAGGAACUGACCCAGAUAGACUACACACGAGGGUUCUUCUUAGGAAACCAUGUGCACAAACUGCGGUUAGUGGAGGCGUGUGCUCCGGAGGGCGGUGCUCGCGUGCAGGCGCUCGGGGAGCUGCGCCUGCAGUGGUGUCUGCGCGGCGAGGAGCCCCUCCACCCCCCCUCCGCCGCCUUCCUGCCCGUGCACGUGUAUGAGUGCCCAGACCACUUCUCUACUGUUGAAUACUUUGAUAACCUAACCUCAUCCCGUCUCGGGCGCCUCGUGGUAUACGCGGACGUGAUGACGUCAACGAUGCACAUAACAGCGGCGCCACUCGCGCACGGCGUCGGCGCUGUGGCGCGGCGACAGGCGGCCGGGCGCGGCCGGGGCGGCAACGUGUGGAUCACGCCGCCCGGACAGGCUGCCAUGUCGCUGCAGGUACACAGCACAGCAACACGUGUGACACAUGACAGCGGCGGCAGGCGGCCGGGCGCGGCCGGGGCGGCAACGUGUGGAUCACGCCGCCCGGACAGGCUGCCAUGUCGCUGCAGGUUUGGCUGAAAGUAUCGCCGACACUCCCGCUGGUACAACACGCGGCCGCACUGGCCGCAGUGAGGGCCAUCCGGUCACAACCCGCAUAUGAACAUUUGGAUAUUAGGAUAAAGUGGCCUAACGACAUCUACUACGGUCGCGACGUGAA